UACGAAGGGGGCUAGCGUUGUUCGGAUUUACUGGGCGUAAAGCGCACGUAGGCGGACUUUUAAGUCAGGGGUGAAAUCCCAGAGCUCAACUCUGGAACUGCCUUUGAUACUGGAAGUCUUGAGUAUGGAAGAGGUUGGUGGAACUGCGAGUGUAGAGGUGAAAUUCGUAGAUAUUCGCAAGAACACCAGUGGCGAAGGCGGCCAACUGGUCCAUUACUGACGCUGAGG
rnacentral:rRNA from 1 species